UACGUUCACGCCGCCGGUCCAACAGCCACGGAAACUUCGUUUAUGCCUUUGCCACCAUUUGAUAAUGGCCGGUUUUGCAUGGUGGUUGUAAGUGGUGUUUGUAACUUAUCGUACUUGAAAAGGUCCUAGCCUAAUUGUUUCCUGUUGCCGGAAAACAUUGCAUCAGUGGUUCACACAAUUUGUUAUUUUGCAUUUUGAACAUAAAUAUAUCGAAAUUUUUGUGCACCCUAUUAUCUUAUAUAGGUAUAAGUUUAAAUUUUGCUUGAUUUUAUCUUCAUCUUAGAUAUAAAGACUUCAUAGUGUAUUAUAAAUAAAACAUUUUUUGAACAUAAA